CGGUGCAGUCAACAGUUGAUUCACCAAUUGAAGUGUCGAUAAUUUUUGUGGACGCAAAAUGGAAAAUAAUUUUGGAUUAAACGGACCGCCUCCGUCAUACUUCGAAGCUACUAGACAGACAAAUGCGUCACACAUACCUCCGUCAUACUUCGAAGCUACCAGACAGACAAAUGUGUCACACAUUCACAGGAGCAGCAAUAUCCCGCACUCAAUUAGGACAGGACUUAGUAACAACUUGUCUUCAACCCCUGGCGAUAGCUGCACGGUUUCGGUAAACCAUGAUCUGACAACUGAAUCUGUAAAUGCAAUACCACCACAUCAACAGUACUUUAGUAAGGAUACAGUUCGUAAAGUCCUUUCCUGCAAAGUUCUGUUAGUGACUAUUAUUUGCCUUAUGUUCCUAAUCCCAAUCGUUUUUGUUUCCGCUAUGUAGUCUGCAAUAUAGUUCACAGAACCCAAGGUGAAGCAGCGAGAGUUUACAAACCAGUACUUUGGUACUUAGCAAGUGAUAGAUGUGUGCUGAUGAUUGAUUCAUGUAAAAGUAAUUGCUACUAAAUGGUACCUAUAUAAGAACAUGCCGUACUCUUGGAUGACCAGAUUAAUUUAUUUUUGAAAUAAAAAUUACGAAUGUAUGUUUUACUAAUGUUUCGCAAAUGUUUAUUUAUUUAGUAGACAAUGUAAAAUGAUUUAGAUUGAUUAAGCAUUGAAGUAUGGAGGAGGUUUUUCAACCUAAUAUAGAUUUACUCUAUUUGAAAUCACACCAAUCGAACAUCAACGUGGAUUCCCCCAAAGAUACGCUUGAUUAUUGACUUCCUCCUUCCAUAAUCUAAAAUCACACGUUAAACUUGGAAAUAGACUGAUAUGGCAGUACUUUAAUUCACAAUCAAAUAACGUACUACAAAAUAAACCUCAGAGCUAGUGUAAUGAUGAAGAGGGGUUGGUAUUUUUAACAAUCUAAUUAAAGGGAUGCUAAUUGUUGGUCAGAACUCAUUAUUAAGAUGCAGCAAAUGUGCUAUAAACUCACCUCUCGUUAUAGUAGGGCCGAUAAUGAUGAUCGCCUCGGCCAACAAUUUACAUUGUCGUCCGGGAAUGUAUUGCUUUUUACUACAAAAUACACAAUCUACUAUUCCAUGACUGGACUACCUUUCCUGCCGCCAGUCACUUUACCGGUCGCGUCUGUCACAUUGCUAAAUGUCAAUAAUGACUCUUGUCAUAAGUGGCAUAUUGACAAUUAAUCAAAAAUUCUACAUGAAAAUUGAAGUUUUAUAUUAAAAAACAGGCGAUUUCGGGUAAAAUUUAGUACUCGCCAGUAAAAUGACAUUACUUGAAUCGGAAAUUAAAGUACUCGCCCCACAGGGGUUUCGUACUUCAAUAUUUCGUCGCCAUUUUCCUGACUUUUAUGUAAAUACCUAUUGCGAUCCUUUGCAAAUAACUUGUAUGCACCGGAGUGUCACAGGAUGAUAUUUUUAUCGGUAGAUUGAAUAGGUACUUAUUGAUUGCGCCUGGUUGUAUAAUACUUGCUUAGGCUUGUAUCCAAUGCAAUUAGUUUCUCGUGAGAGUGCAAGGUUGUCGUGGAGAAACAAUUAAAAGGUAAUAUCUAUUGAAACGAUAAACAUGGAAAGCAGAGAGUCCUCAAGAGAUGCGCCCCCACCAUAUUCCAUAGCUACCGUACUAUGCACAGUCCAAAAUUCACUUUACACGAUUGGAAGUAGUAAUCCCUUGGGAAUUGGCCCUCCAUGUUCUAUAACUAGGCAGGGAUUGCUUCCUGAAACGCAUUCGAAUGCAGUUGGUACAUCUACUGAAAUAGCAAAAUAUGCAUCAGCGCAACAUCAACAGUCAAUAAGGGUCAAAUACAAUCAGAAACGUGGGUACAUGGUGCUUGUAGGAGUGUUUCUCUUUUUUGUCGUUAUUUCUCUUGUGAUUGUGUUAAGUAUGAUCUUCGCAUGACAAAACUAAACAUAGUAUUAAGA